rnacentral:lncRNA from 1 species
CAGUACAUGCCUACACAGCCUGGCCUUACUGCGUCAUUUUUCUUUGUUUUAGAUUAGGUGAUUGAACUACAUUGAAUUCAAUAGGGCUACAAUGGCAAAGAAUGAGAAAUCCUGGUUACCUGAGUGUCUACCUAAGAUUACCCUAAGUGGCAGGAAACUGUAAGAUGAGCGUCGCAAAAGACAGAAGCUUAAGGUUUCCAACAACUCAGACACAGAUUGCUCUUGUUAGCUCAAACUGGAGUUACCCGCUUCAGCAAAGUCAGCAUUGAGGUCUGGACGACAUGGGUACCAGUGUGCCGACAGGCCUCCUCUUGCCCGAGGGCACCACAUGGGGCAAGAUCCUCACCACCACCAUCUCCCAAGGAUGUGGCCCCUUUAAGGCAUAUGCUUUCCCUGGAAACUAAGAUAAUGCAGCCAGCGUGGAGAAGCUCUAUGUGAAUGGAUGGAGGCUGGGGGGAACAUAGGAUAGAAACAGGGUUUAGAGGCGGGUUUAGAGGCUGAGACUCCAGGAACAAGUGACACCACUGAGGAGAUUCAGACACCCCUUAAUUAACCCAUCAAACCGCCUUUGACAUUUUAAGAUCAUGGCACAGAUGCCUGGGAAGGAGAAGGGAGAGAGAAGGAAAGAGGGAGAAGGGUAUAGCAAGAAUGAGGAAAUAUACAAUUAUGUUUAAAUCUACAAAAUUGUAUUUUGUAUUCCCCCCCCCCCCGUUCCUUUCUUCCUCUGGGUUGUUUUGUAUUUGUUAUCUUUUUAGAUGGUAAGUUCUUAGGGGCAAGGACUGGGUCCUUCGUUUGAGAUCAAGCAUAGAAAAUUCUAGCUGAAAAGAGAAUUUUCCAGAAAGUGACGAGGGAAUGAAAGCAAGGAGUGAUAACAAACCAGUUUCCAGCCUUAACUGUAGCAUGCACUGAGUAAAUUACCAAGUACCAGCUAAAGGCACCAGUUCAAGUUGCUACACUGAGAGAACAUAAAGGAUCUAUUUAGGAGGUCACCAGAGUAUAGACAAAAAUGCAAGAUUAUUACGAUAUAGAUAAAAAUUAAGGAGGGAAU